rnacentral:rRNA from 1 species
GCGCCGCGGUAAUUCCAGCUCCAAUAGCGUAUAUUAAAGUUGCUGCAGUUAAAAAGCUCGUAGUUGAAUUUCGGGACCAAUAUGUCGGUCGUGCCUCGGUACGUACUGGCAUCGUUGGUUUCUCCCUUCUGACGAACCAUGAUGUCAUUUAUUUGGUGUCGUGGGGAAUCAGGACUGUUACUUUGAAAAAAUUAGAGUGUUUAAAGCAGGCUCACGCUUGAAUACAUUAGCAUGGAAUAAUGAAAUAGGACGUUUGAUUCUAUUUUGUUGGUUUCUAGGAUCGACGUAAUGAUUAAUAGGGAUAGUUGGGGGCAUUAGUAUUCAAUUGUCAGAGGUGAAAUUCUUGGAUUUAUUGAAGACUAACUACUGCGAAAGCAUUUGCCAAGGAUGUUUUCAUUAAUCAAGAACGAAAGUUAGGGGAUCGAAGACGAUCAGAUACCGUCGUAGUCUUAACCAUAAACUAUGCCGACUAGGGAUCGGAUGAUGUUAAUUUUUUAAUGACUCAUUCGGCGCCUUAC